GGCAACCUGCUCAAGUCUGCUUCGGUAGUGUGGAAGCUUUGUUUUUUUACUUGUUGCAAUGAAACUUGCUGCUGCUCAGUUUUUGAUUUUGCACUGCCUUUAUGAGCUGUAAUCCUCACCGUGAAGGUCUGCAGCUUCACUCCUGAGGCAAGCAAGACCACGAAGCCAGUGGGAGGGAUAAACAACUCCGGACAGGAAAAAUGAACAAUUCCAGACGCGCCGCCUUAAGAACUGUAACACCCACUGGGAACGUCUGCAGCUUUGCUUCUGAAGCCAGCGAGACCAUGAAGCCACCAGAAGGAAGAAACGCCAAACCCGUCUGAACAUCAGAAGGAGAAAACUCCAGACACACCAUUUUUAAGAACUGUAACACUCACUGCGAGGGUCUGUGGCUUCAUUCUUGGAGUCAGUGAGACCAAGAACCCACCAAUUUCGGACAUGCUGGGAACAUAUCCUGGUAACUGUGUGUCCUUAUUUCUCAGCACAAUGCUUGCUACCUGAGAGGAGUGCAAUUAAAACAGCGACCACAAUAACAACCACUUGAAUGAAUGGAAGAAUGAUUACAUUAAUUUCUGCUGGGAAGGAUGUCAUGGGAAUUCUGCUUCUUGGCAAUUUUCACGGAUUGUAAAAUUAGCUUACCAACUUGCAUAAAAACUUCUGUAUGUUAUUGAAUAUCAUCAGUUUUAGCAAGCAUUCUUGUCUCAUUCCUGAUUUUAGAGGAAAUACUUGAACUUCUCACUCGAAAGGAACUAAAAUAAUUCUGAGUACUAGCAAGGACUAAGAUGAAGUUCAAUGUUAUGACUGCAAAGUGAAAUGAUCAGAAGUUUCAUGGCCAUGAGUACUGCUGCCUGGCCCGGGCAUGAGAAAUGAGUUUGCUCUAGACUGCAGAUUGUGAAGACGAGCUUUGCAAAAAUCUAACAUCUAGUGCAUUCUGACUAUGGAGAGGAUAUAAUUGAUGUAAGACUCCAAGAGAUUGCUGGUGAAUAGAUCUGUGGUUAGAUUUUAAACGAUGGAUUUAGAAAACAAUUCAAUGAGGUUAAAAUUAAUUUUAGUAAAUGUGAGGGAUAAGAGAAAGGAAGGCUGAGAUAAGCUGUUUUAUAAGAAAUAGUUAUGCUGAACAGAUCCAAGUUUUGCUGAGGUGAAGCAGAAACAAUAUGGCGAUUAGAAAGAACAGCGAGGUCAAGAUGUUACUGCAUUUUCAACCUGGGUAACUACGAGGUCAAUAUGUGAAUAAGUUAACAAUGUAUUGCUGAAGAAAUUAUGAAUAGAAUGGAGAGGAAACUGGGAAAGUAUAGAGUGUGGUUAUUUACUACAUGUUUUAGGUCACCAGUUAAAAUAAAUAAAGUUGACCUAGGUUUAAAAAGAAGGGAAAAUGUUAAACAAGGAUCAUUGUUGAGUAAUUGGAAUUAAGAGUUCACACAAAAAGCAGGCUGUCUCUUAAUCCUAGGGCAUGAAGAGCAGGGGAUAAAAGGAUGGUCUCUGUCAGAUAUUUCCAAGAAAAAGC
rnacentral:lncRNA from 1 species